AUCAUUGUGAAAUUUAAUUACUGUCCAUCCCUCUGUAGAGUCCGGAUGCCUUCCCCCAGAUCAUGGAGAAAGCCCAAUGCCUGAUCAUUUGGUUCAGUAUCUGCCUAUCCCAUUCAACCAACACCUCACGAAGAAGCUGGGCACCAGCCACAUAGCAAGGCUGGAGCUCAAUCUUACCAGGAGUGGUGACCAAAUUAGAUGAAAGGAAGUCUAGGAUCAGGAGGCAAAGGUGACAAUGUUUCAAGGAUGUGGGUACUGUCACUGAUGUCAAAUAUUGCCAAAAGCUCUAAAUAAAAGGAACUCUGGAAUGGAGAAGUGGCUGUUGACACCUGAUUUCCCUCUGGCAGAUGACCAGAUAGAAUCAGCAUUAACAACGUGCAGAAAAUGCCAAAUGCAGGAAAAAUGACAAAUGUGCCAGAUGAUUUAAUAUCAAGUAAAGAUAAAGUGCUGAAGAUCGAACACAGUGCUUCACACAUGCCAGGCAAGUGCUCUACGAUUUGGCCACAACUCCAGCCCGUGUUUUCAAUUUUUGUAGAG